rnacentral:ncRNA from 1 species
ACAGUACAAACUGAGCAGGCGAUGACCCGCAGGGGUCGUGGGGCCGGGUCGCAAAAAGUGACAGCAGAUCGUGAUAUCGCGCAUCUGUGGGACAGU